ACUUUUGGGAGACAUCUCCUGGAAGUCAAAGCUUUAUGUGCUGAAAGAUGGCCUCGCGUCUGAUUAGCUGGUUGGUGAGGUAACGGCUCACCAAGGCGACGAUCAGUAGCCGGUCUGAGAGGAUGAACGGCCACAUUGGGACUGAGAUACGGCCCAGACUCCUACGGGAGGCAGCAGUGGGGAAUAUUGGGCAAUGGGGGAAACCCUGACCCAGCAACGCCGCGUGAAGGAAGAAGGCCUUCGGGUUGUAAACUUCUUUUACCAGGGACGAAGGACGUGACGGUACCUGGAGAAAAAGCAACGGCUAACUACGUGCCAGCAGCCGCGGUAAUACGUAGGUUGCAAGCGUUGUCCGGAUUUACUGGGUGUAAAGGGCGUGUAGGCGGAGAUGCAAGUUGGGAGUGAAAUCCAUGGGCUCAACCCAUGAACUGCUCUCAAAACUGUAUCCCUUGAGUAUCGGAGAGGCAAGCGGAAUUCCUAGUGUAGCGGUGAAAUGCGUAGAUAUUAGGAGGAACACCAGUGGCGAAGGCGGCUUGCUGGACGACAACUGACGCUGAGGCGCGAAAGCGUGGGGAGCAAACAGGAUUAGAUACCCUGGUAGUCCACGCUGUAAACGAUGAAUACUAGGUGUGGGAGGAC
rnacentral:rRNA from 1 species